CAGGAAAUAGUUUAUUAAAAUAUUAAUUUUGGAGAUUAAAGUAAGGAGAUAAUCCUUUUCCUGA
rnacentral:tRNA from 1 species